UGUUGGUGAAAAAAUCCAAAAUCUUUAAAUAUCAUUUAAUUUUAUAAUUAUUUAUAUUUAUUGUCUUUUAUUAUGUUAAUUAAUUGGAUAUAUUAAAUUUAAUUUAUUCCUCCUUUAUUUCACAUUAAAGCAUGAAUUAAGGGUGCAUAAUAAGGUUUGUACGUUGGGGUUGAUUCCAAUGUUACACCAUAUAACCCCUCUAUAUAUAUAUUUUAGCUUUAUAUACUAUUCAUGAUAUGAACAUUGCAAAGAGAAAUAUUGGAGGACAUAUAUUUUUCUAUCUAUUAUUUUUAUCUAUUUGGCUUUGAUCUUUUUGUCAUCGAGUGUUGAAAGAGUCUUCGUCAACCUUCUUCACGAUCGUGCUCGCAGGAAGAGGAAUUCCGGUCGUACCUUGGGGUGUUGUUCCCAGUUAAUCCCACACGUAAGGACGGGAAUACGCCUUAGGGCAGUGCCUCGCAUGCUUCCGGAUCAAUUAAGUAUUUAUUUGGAUUUAUUGAUCAUCUGUAAGUUGAUUUAUUUAUUUUCAUAAUAAAAUUUAGUUAGAUUUAAAUCACAAUCAGAUUUCUGUGCGGUAAUUGUUCU
rnacentral:lncRNA from 1 species